CUAGUUGAGCGUANUUACACAGGGCAUUGCCNUGGUGCNAAAGCUNNGAACGGGAUGAGUAACACGUGNGUAACCUGCCCCGAUGACCGGGACAACCCGAGGAAACUCGGGCUAAUACCGGAUGUGCUCUCCGCACAUAAGUGCGGUCAGCAAAGGUAGCUUCGGCUUCCGCUUCGGGAGGGGCCCGCGGCCCAUUAGCUAGUUGGUGAGGUAACGGCCCACCAAGGCAACGAUGGGUAGCUGGUCUGAGAGGACGAUCAGCCACACUGGGACUGAGACACGGCCCAGACUCCUACGGGAGGCAGCAGUGGGGAAUCUUGCGCAAUGCGCGAAAGCGUGACGCAGCAACGCCGCGUGGGGNAAGAAGGCCUUCGGNUUGUAAACCCCUUUCAGGAGGGACGAAGGUUCGGCAGUUAACAGCUGUCCGGACUGACGGUACCUCCACAAGAAGCCCCGGNUAACUACGUGCCAGCAGCCGCGNUAAUACGUAGGGGGCAAGCGUUGUCCGGAAUCAUUGGGCGUAAAGCGCGCGUAGGCGGCCCGNUCAGUCCGUUGUGAAAGUCGAAGGCUCACCNUUCGGAUGCCGAUGGAUACUGCCGGGCUANAAUCCGGANGAGGCGAGUGGAAUUCNUGGUGUAGCGGUGGANUGCGCAGAUNUCAGGAGNAACACCAAUAGCGAAGGCAGCUCGCUGGNACGNUNUUGACGCUGAGGCGCGAAAAGCGUGGGGAGCGAANAGGAUUAGAUACCCUGNUAGUCCACGCCGUAAACNAUGGGCACUAGGUGUGGNAGGGUCGACUCUNCCNGUGCCGGCCCUAAACGCAUUAAGUGCCCCNCUUGGGGNGUACGGCCNNCAGGNUUAAAACUCAAAGNAAUUGACGGGGGCCCNCANAAGCAGCGAAACAU
rnacentral:rRNA from 1 species